rnacentral:rRNA from 1 species
AGAGUUUGAUCAUGGCUCAGAUUGAACGCUGGCGGCAUGCUUUACACAUGCAAGUCGAGCGGCAGCGCGGGGGCAACCCUGGCGGCGAGCGGCGGACGGGUGAGUAAUGCAUCGGAACGUAUCCCGUAGUGGGGACAACCCAGCGAAAGCUGGGCUAAUACCGCAUAUGCUCUACGGAGGAAAGUGGGGGACCCGCAAGGGCCUCACGCUAUGGGAGCGGCCGAUGUCCGAUUAGCUAGUUGGUGGGGUAAAGGCCUACCAAGGCGACGAUCGGUAGCUGGUCUGAGAGGAUGAUCAGCCACACUGGGACUGAGACACGGCCCAGACUCCUACGGGAGGCAGCAGUGGGGAAUUUUGGACAAUGGGGGCAACCCUGAUCCAGCCAUGCCGCGUGCGGGAAGAAGGCCUUCGGGUUGUAAACCGCUUUUGUUCGGGAAGAAAAGGCACGUCCUAAUACGGCGUGUUCUUGACGGUACCGGAAGAAUAAGCACCGGCUAACUACGUG